GCCGGCCAUGGUAGCAUACACCUCUAGUCCUAGCUACUCAGGAGCCUGAGGCAGGAGGAUCACUUGAGCCCAGCAGUUCUGGGCUAUAGCGUGCUAUGUCGAUCAGGUGUUCACACUAAGUUCAGCAUCAAUAUGGUGACCUCCUGGGAGUGGGGCACCACCAAGUUGGCUAAGGAAGGGUGAACUGGCCCAGGUCAGAAAAUGAGCAGGUCAUAAGUAAUUCCCAUGCUGAUCAGUAGUGGGAUCGUGCCUGUGAAUAGCUACUGCAUUCCAGCCUGGGCAAUAUAGCAAGGCCUCAUCUCU
rnacentral:SRP_RNA from 1 species